rnacentral:rRNA from 1 species
UACGUAGGUGGCAAGCGUUAUCCGGAAUUAUUGGGCGUAAAGCGCGCGCAGGCGGUUUCUUAAGUCUGAUGUGAAAGCCCACGGCUCAACCGUGGAGGGUCAUUGGAAACUGGGGAACUUGAGUGCAGAAGAGAAAAGCGGAAUUCCACGUGUAGCGGUGAAAUGCGUAGAGAUGUGGAGGAACACCAGUGGCGAAGGCGGCUUUUUGGUCUGUAACUGACGCUGGAGGCGCGAAAGCGUGGGGAGCAAACAGG